AUAUAUGAUCUAAGCUAACAUCGACAAUUCGACAACCACUAUUACGACAUAUGUCAUAGACCUAACUAAUAGACGGUACGUGGUUGUAUUUCCGGCGUCCAAGCGUGACGGCGCUGAUCAAGGUAGUACACCGUACACCGCACAUUCACACGGGACCUAUCGGAUUGUACAACAAUUCAUUUUCAAUUUUACUUCCGUGUACUAUCACAAUGGUAUAUCACCGUGUUACUGUUAUCAUACUAGUUCUGAUUUGAAAUUUUCAACUGUUUCAACAAGUUUUUUUCUUGAGUUUUGCCGAUUUUACUUAUUUUUAUUGUUUAACUUAGUUCAACUUUCAAGUUUCUAUUAAGAUGCCUAGGAAGUGUGUCAUUUGUAAUGUUUAUGAUAAAAAUAGUGACCAAUCAUUUUAUUCCUUUCCUAAGGAUGAAGGUCGCAAGAAGUUGUGGUUAAAGGCUUGUGGAAUUAACCUUUAUCUACCAUCAUACAGAGUUUGUGAGGCUCAUUUUUCUGAUGAAGACUUUUUACCAAGUGGUUGCUUAAAAAGUAUUGCUAUUCCAGUAAAUAAUUCUAAACAGCCAGAAUUAUUAGAAUCCACAAAUACAGUUUUUGAGUCAACUUCUCAAGAAACUCUGUCGCCCGACAAAAUCUCAAUCGCAUCAACAGAUAGUAUUUGUGAUACUCCAAAAAAGCGAUGUUCUAGUGAAUUGCCUGAUGUGAGUUCAAGUCAAAAACGGAAAAGAUAUAAUCCAGAUAUGAUUGGGAAUUUAUUGCCAAGUCACUUUAAUACACCAAGGAAAGCUAAAAAGAAUUUAGAAAUGGUAAAAUAUAAGUUCAGCCAAAUACAAAGCCAAAAUGUAAAUUUGAAAAAGCAGGUGAAGAGACUGCAGAUGAAGCUCAAAACAUAUGAUGACCUUAUCCUUCAACUGAAAAGUAAAAAUUUCAUAUCUGAAAAUGCAUCUGUACAUCUAAAGUUCAAGCAGAGAGGUGGAUUCAACAACAAUACUUCCUGUAAACAGUUUAAGUCAGCAUAUAAGAAAUUAUUAGUUCACAAUGAAAUAAGUGGAUCACAAAAUGGUAACUGUAUUGCUAUACUUGAUACAACACAAAGAUCUGUAGUGCAAGUAGGACCAGAUAGUAUUAUAAGCAAUGAGAGUGAACAAGGCAUAAAUAUAUCUGACCAUGAUUAUUCUAGAACAAUACAUAGGAUAACUCCUUUUUAGAUGAAGUGACAAGUUACAUAUCUGGUUUUGUUGUUAAACAUUUUUUUAAAAAAAUCAACUGCAAUAUUUGUCAUAAAUAUCUAAUUGAUGAUUCGGAACAUAUAUUUAAAUUAAUAAGUGAAAAGGAUAAAAAUAACACCUUAAUUAAACCAAGCCAAGAUAAUGUUGAAAUUUGCCAAGAAGCAGAAACCGUUUUUCGAGCUCACAAUGUUUUUUUGCCUGAUAUCAAAUCAAAAAUUUUCUUUAAAAUAAAAAACAAUAUUUAUCAAAAACCAGAAAAGAGCUCAAUAAUCAUUGUCUGGAUCAGCAACUAUUUAAUUCUCAUCAGAUCAAAUAAUAAGUCUCACUGAAUUAACAUAUAUAAAUUUAAGAUUUCACCAUGCAGCUUCACCAAAAGAAGAAAAAAAAUAGUAACUCGAUAAGAUAUGAAUCACACAGCCCCUGUAAAUUAAUACAGAAUAUUUCAAAAUUUGAAUAAAAGCAACAUAUAGCAUAUUUUUUAAUUCUUUAAUGCAGCAAUAGCAGAGCAAUAGAUAAAUAAUGAGGAUAACAAUUAAAAAAU
rnacentral:misc_RNA from 1 species